UUUCCGUAGGUGAACCUGCGGAAGGAUCAUUACACGUUCUAGGGCGCUUCGGCGCGCUUUAUACACACACCCUCUGCCUAUGCGUACCUUUUUAGCUUCCUCGGCGGGCUCGCCCGCCGCCAGGAAUCCUCCAAACCCCUUGCAUUAUACGCGAAAACUUCUGAUACAAACCUAAAUUAUCACAACUUUCAACAAUGGAUCUCUUGGUUCUGGCAUCGAUGAAGAACGCAGC
rnacentral:misc_RNA from 1 species